rnacentral:piRNA from 1 species
UGGAUAACAUGCAACCAUGCCCUCUAUUU